rnacentral:rRNA from 1 species
UACGUAGGGACCAAGCGUUGUUCGGAUUUACUGGGCGUAAAGGGCGCGUAGGCGGCGUGGUAAGUCAGCUGUGAAAUCUCCGAGCUUAACUCGGAACGGUCAGCUGAUACUGCUGUGCUAGAGUACAGAAAGGGCAAUCGGGAAUUCUUGGUGUAGCGGUGAAAUGACGUAGAUAUCAGGAGGAACACCGGUGGCGAAGGCGGGUCUCUGGGCCGAUACUGACGCUGGAGGAGCGAAAGCGUGGGGAGCAAACAGG